CGUUUGUAAGAUGUUAUUGUGUGUGUGUUUCAGUGAAGUUGCUGUGGAGGUUCCCUUCAAACUCAUGCAUCCCAAACCUGAUCCUGAGAGUGAAGACACAACUGACUUGGUGUUCGAGGAGUUUAAAACGCUCUAUCUUAAAGGAGUCAUCGGCGACGAUGACGAAUCUCCGGCUGAGCCUUGAGAGCCUUCUCCGUGGAAAGUGCUCACAGACGACAUGUAUUGUGUGUGUUUUUGUGUAGGCAGACUUGUGAGUGUAAAGAUUCAUAAGCAUUUAUAGAUGCAUGUUAAGGCUGGGUAGAUGUGAUGUGCCCUAAUGCAAGAAUAUUUUUUAAGACAGGUGAGAAAAAAUCAAUUGGCCAAAUUACCAUUUAUCUUGCAGUCUCCAUAUAUUCAUUGCAAAUAAUUAUGGAUAUUGUAGUUAAAUAAAUCAUGGGCACUAAAUAUAUGCAUUUUGACAUUUAAGAACCAAAAUAAAAAUUAUAACUCUAGAGCUUUCAUUAAGGAUAAACUGAUAUAUAUAGUGUAUUUUAUUUGCCACAGAUGGAUGUAUUGCUUAGUAAAUUAGUUGCAGUGUACAUUUUUAAAGAGGCAAAUCCUGUUCCUCCUGUUGUUAUUUGCUCUUUAAAUGCUUUGAGCUAUAAUUAAACUAUUUGUGACAGCAAAACAGCUGUGUUUACAUGAUCUCUGUACCCAAGGACUGGUCAUUUUCAAUCAUACCUUCACAGAAAAACUGCAGUUUCAAAGACCUGUAACGUAUAACAUGGGAAAGUCUUGCAAAAUUUGUUUAUUUAACCAAAGACUCUCAUGGUCUGGUGAAACACAUACUCCAUAAACUAUAGUUAACAUAUGGCAGCAAUCCAGAGAUAAACUCAAACCUGUUUACCUUUAAUGAUAUGUCUUUCAGUUGAGGAGUAUUUCUUGUUGCAUUAACAAUAAUAAAUCUAUUUUAAUGCUUA